UGGGGAAUAUUGGACAAUGGGCGGAAGCCUGAUCCAGCCAUGCCGCGUGUGUGAAGAAGGCCUUUUGGUUGUAAAGCACUUUAAGCGAGGAGGAGGCUACUUGGAUUAAUACUCUAGGAUAGUGGACGUUACUCGCAGAAUAAGCACCGGCUAACUCUGUGCCAGCAGCCGCGGUAAUACAGAGGGUGCGAGCGUUAAUCGGAUUUACUGGGCGUAAAGCGUACGUAGGCGGCUUCUUAAGUCGGAUGUGAAAUCCCUGAGCUUAACUUAGGAAUUGCAUUCGAUACUGGGAAGCUAGAGUAUGGGAGAGGAUGGUAGAAUUCCAGGUGUAGCGGUGAAAUGCGUAGAGAUCUGGAGGAAUACCGAUGGCGAAGGCAGACAUCUGGCCUAAUACUGACGCUGAGGUACGAAAGCAUGGGGAGCAAACAGG
rnacentral:rRNA from 1 species